UUCUACACGGUGAGAUGCCUCAAUACU
rnacentral:sRNA from 1 species